CAAUAGCGUAUAUUAAAGUUGUUGCAGUUAAAAGCUCGUAGUUGGAUUUCUGGUCUGAUGCCCUGGCCCGCUUCAAUUUCGAAGUGAGUGCCGGCUGUGCGUCUACCAUCCUUCUAGAAAACGUUCCUACCCUUCACUGGGCCGGGUUCGCGAUCUAGAUCUUUUACUUUGAAAAAUUAGAGUGUUUAAAGCAGGCUUUUGCUAUGAAUACAUUAGCAUGGAAUAAUAAUCUAGGACUUCGGUUCUAUUUUGUUGGUUUCUAGUACUGAAGUAAUGAUUGAUAGGGAUAGUUGGGGGUGGCUAGUAUUGGGCGGCCAGAGGUGAAAUUCUUGGAUUUGUUAAAGACGGACUACUGCGAAAGCAUUUGCCAAGGAUGUUUUCAUUGAUCAAGAACGAAAGUUAGGGGAUCGAAGACGAUUAGAUACCAU
rnacentral:rRNA from 1 species